rnacentral:rRNA from 1 species
CAGUCGCCGCGGGAAUACGAAGGGGGCUAGCGUUGUUCGGAUUUACUGGGCGUAAAGCGCACGUAGGCGGAUUCUUAAGUCAGAGGUGAAAUCCCAAGGCUCAACCUUGGAACUGCCUUUGAUACUGGGGAUCUUGAGUCCGGGAGAGGUGAGUGGAACUGCGAGUGUAGAGGUGAGAUUCGUAGAUAUUCGCAAGAACACCAGUGGCGAAGGCGGCUCACUGGCCCGGUACUGACGCUGAGGUGCGAAAGCGUGGGGAGCAAACAGGAUUAGAGACCCGCGUAGUCCCUGUCUCUUAUAC